AUGUCUUGUCGAUCAAGACUGCUUUCCAUCAGUGCUCGCAGAGACCAUCUCCAACGAGCACGCACUCCUCCCGAGCAUCUUUCUCGUAGGGCUGACUUUCAACCUCUCCGGAUUUCGCGGAGUCUUCAUGGUCCCGGAAAUAUCGCGUCCCUAUCCUCCCUGUCUUGCGGAGGACGUUAUCCAGGUAGGGGGUCACAUGCGGGUUCCCACUGCACACGUAGAACCUGA